ensembl:lncRNA
AUGUGUUCAAGAGGAGCUUGGCCACUGUACCUCACCUUAGAGAUGCCUGUGGAUAUACUCCAUGGAUUCCUUCUUACUGCAGUUAAAAUUUCCAGUUUAUGUAGAUGUUCACUUUUCACUAAUUGGGCUGUUUCUUCCAAGUAUAAAGAACUGCAGGACUUAACUCUUAGCAGAGACCCAGUCUACUUCUUCUGUGAGAAAUAUCUCAAAUAAGUUUCUUCAGACAGGAUCUUCUGUGAAGCUAUUUUAUUUGCGAUUGCAAUGGCGGGUGUCCUGUCAAUCAGGAGCGCAAUUUAGUAAACAAAUCAUAACCUUUUUUUCCCUAUUACCUGACGCCUGAUCACCUCCCCUGUUUCCUCAUUGGCUGAACUCUACAGGUUCACAAGCUACUCGACGCUCCUCUAUACCAUAUAUGUACAAUUUUUCUUUCUUUCAACCCUUUAAUUUCUCCUUUCUUAUGUUUUGAGAACUUGUGAUCUUUGUUUUACCGUUCUCACACUGCUCAUCCUGUUUUUCUCAAGCUUCUACCUUAUUUUGGAACAGUGAGGCCUUCUACUGUCCACUUAUCUACUUAGCAUUUCUCCUUAUUAUGACUACACAACUACCUUGGAAUACAGAAAAUUAGUUCUCUACUGCAAAAACACAACUUUGUUUCUCACACUUCCACCAUUAAAAUAAUCUUGGAUAACCCCUUAGGUAAAGCAAGAUAAAAGCACAGAAGCAAAGAAGAAAAUGUCACAAAGUCCCAGCCAGGUGGCAGCUCCAGACAACAUUAUUCCCUCCUGGUACGAGCCCACAACAGGAGGAUUUUUUUUUUUUUUCUGUUUGUUUACAUGCUAAAUCAUUCAAAAGAGACAGGUCAAACUUUCCUCAUUCCGUAUUCUGAAAGUUUAUGCAGACAGAAGCUACAAUUACAUAUUGAUGGCUGCUGAAGUACAAAUUAAAUUUUCUGAGUCUGUUGCUGGUAGAAAUCAGAGCUAUAAAGUGAUUUCAUCAGUAAUACUACAGUAACAAGCAGGACCAUAAAAAGAAAUUAAAAAUUUUCUUGGUAUGCUUCGGUAUGUGAUUUGUAGCAGCAAACACUACAGAGUAACUUUGCUCUGAAUCGCUUCUAAAAAGCACAAAGAGAGAGGACUACGCAGAAAACAGUCUCCUUGUAAACUGUGUGGAACAAAGAGAUGGUUUCACCUUCAGAAAUGACAUUUCUAUUUCUGUAUGAUUUUCAAAAUGAAACCUAGAAAAUACCUUUUAUAUUUCAGUAUUUGAGAAAUAUUUGGAAGUUUUAAUACAGCGCUUUUUUUUUUUUUUUUUUUUUUUUUUUUUUUUUUUUUUGUUUUGAAUCAGAAUUUGAUUUGGAGUUGUUCAAACACCAGGAAGAGAUUUUUUGAUCUAUUUUUUGACAUCAACAGCCAAGAAAAUGCUAGAAAAUCCAGUUGUGUCUACUUAAAGUGAAAGCCACUUACACUGCUGAAGUGCUGAUAGAAAGCAAAUUUGGCUGUGUGACUGAGCACAAAAGGUGGGAACUUCUGGGUUCUAGAUCUAUGCCUGUCACUGACUGAAGUUGGUAAUUCUGUAUAAAACAUAAUAAAUCAUUGCCUUUCUUAUUUAACUUAACA